rnacentral:rRNA from 1 species
UAUGUAGGGGGCUAGCGUUGUCCGGAAUCAUUGGGCGUAAAGAGCGUGUAGGCGGCCCGGUAAGUCCGCUGUGAAAGUCCAGGGCUCAACCCUGGGAUGCCGGUGGAUACUGUCGAGCUCGAGUCCGGAAGAGGCGAGUGGAAUUCCUGGUGUAGCGGUGAAAUGCGCAGAUAUCAGGAGGAACACCAAUGGCGAAGGCAGCUCGCUGGGACGUGACUGACGCUGAGACGCGAAAGCGUGGGGAGCAAACAGG